rnacentral:rRNA from 1 species
GUAAUCAGUUUUUACUUAACUUACACAUGCAAGUCUCCGCACACCCGUGAGAACGCCCUUUCACCCCUCUAGGGAUGAGGAGCUGAUAUCAGGCUCUAUCGCCCAAAACAUCUAGCCACGCCACACCCACAAGGGCCUUCAGCAGUGAUUAACCUUAAGAAUAAACGUCAGUUUGACUUAGUUAAAUGAAAAUAGAGCCGGCCAAUCUGGUGCCAGCCGCCGCGGCUACACCAUGAGACUCAAAUUGAUUUCACACGGCGUAAAGCGUGAUUAAAGAAAUAAAUGCUGGGGUUUAAAUUACUACUGUUUACACGAUUAUUCUUAAGAAGCCCUACCUCGAAAGAUGCCCCAACCAAUCAACUUGA